UCGAGAAUUUUUCUCAAUGGGGGAAACCCUGAAGGAGCGACGCCGCGUGGGGGAUGAAGGGCUUCGGCCCGUAAACCCCUGUCAUUUGCGAACAAAUGUCAUGGUUGAACAAGCCAUGGCUUGAUUGUAGCGAAAGAGGAAGGGACGGCUAACUCUGUGCCAGCAGCCGCGGUAAUACAGAGGUCCCAAGCGUUGUUCGGAUUCACUGGGCGUAAAGGGUGCGCAGGUGGGUUGGCAAGUUCGAUGUGAAAGCCCCGGGCUUAACCCGGGAAUGGCAUUGAAUACUGCUGAUCUGGAGGAUUGGAGGGGGGACUGGAAUUCUUGGUGUAGCAGUGAAAUGCGUAGAUAUCAAGAGGAACACCAGUGGCGAAGGCGAGUCCCUGGACAAUACCUGACACUGAGGCACGAAAGCCAAGGGAGCAAACAGGAUUAGAUACCCCCGUAGUCC
rnacentral:rRNA from 1 species